rnacentral:rRNA from 1 species
CAGCCGCCGCGGUAAUACGAAGGGGGCUAGCGUUGCUCGGAAUUACUGGGCGUAAAGCGCACGUAGGCGGCUUUGUAAGUUAGAGGUGAAAGCCCGGAGCUCAACUCCGGAAUUGCCUUUAAGACUGCAGAGCUAGCAGGUGAGAGAGGUGAGUGGAAUUCCGAGUGUAGAGGUGAAAUUCGUAGAUAUUCGGAGGAACACCAGUGGCGAAGGCGGCUCACUGGACGACUGUUGACGCUGAGGUGCGAAAGCGUGGGGAGCAAACAGGAUUAGAUACCCCAGUAGUCCCUGUAUCUUAUAC